ACAGCUAGAUUGCUCCCAUCCUGUUCCAGCCACUGGAAGCCAAAGGAGCUCUGUGACUCAUCGAAAUUCCUCAUGCUUGUGUCUUGUCUCAGCAGAGAAGCACCAGCAGCUCUAACUCCCUAAUUCUUGAGGCAGGACAGAACUUGUUGGAGAAGUACAGCCUGUCUCCUCUCCAGGAAACCCCUCCUCGCUUCCUCUCUUGAUGCUGAGAUAAAAAGCUGCUGGCAAAGAAGCAGAGCCAAACAAGGUUCUGGCAUGGAAAAUGGCUCUCAUAGCACUGCCAGAACAAGGGAAUGCUGGAAAGAAGAUUCCUGGAGAGGGCUGAACUUCACUUUGCACCAUGCAAGCAGCACAAUGUGAGGCUGAAGAUGAACAGAUCCUGUCUUAAAACUGCUUGGAGAUCGUAGAUGGAGUAACAUAGAAAUGCUUGAAUUUUAUCUAUAAGAAUGGAGUAAAAUGUAUUUACUGUAUUUGCAAAGUGAGGAGCAGUUCAGUGGAGCUUCAGUAUUAAGUAUCAUUUACACCUGCUUUCUGGCUUGUUACAGUGUCAGUCUAAGCAAAAUUCAAGUGUAUAUUGUCUUCUUCACACAGAUACAGGCAAAAAUUCUAGC